rfam:Streptomyces griseus subsp. griseus NBRC 13350 DNA, complete genome.
GACGCGUAAGCGCCGUAGGCAGGAGCGGGGGACCCAGGUAAGCCGCCGGGUCCGGACGCCUCGUCGAACCGACGGGGGCGCACGGGACCGGCUAGGGGUCAAGUCGCGAGCAGUACCGCGCGACCGGGCAACUCAUCAGCCCGAACCCGACAGCUCACCUCGUAGGCGUCGGUGAGGAGAUUC